rnacentral:rRNA from 1 species
AGAGUUUGAUCCUGGCUCAGGACGAACGCUGGCGGCGUGCCUAAUACAUGCAAGUCGAACGCUUCUUUCCUCCCGAGUGCUUGCACUCAAUUGGAAAGAGGAGUGGCGGACGGGUGAGUAACACGUGGGUAACCUACCCAUCAGAGGGGGAUAACACUUGGAAACAGGUGCUAAUACCGCAUAACAGUUUAUGCCGCAUGGCAUAAGAGUGAAAGGCGCUUUCGGGUGUCGCUGAUGGAUGGACCCGCGGUGCAUUAGCUAGUUGGUGAGGUAACGGCUCACCAAGGCCACGAUGCAUAGCCGACCUGAGAGGGUGAUCGGCCACACUGGGACUGAGACACGGCCCAGACUCUACGGGAGGCAGCAGUAGGGAAUCUUCGGCAAUGGACGAAAGUCUGACCGAGCAACGCCGCGUGAGUGAAGAAGGUUUUCGGAUCGUAAAACUCUGUUGUUAGAGAAGAACAAGGACGUUAGUAACUGAACGUCCCCUGACGGUAUCUAACCAGAAAGCCACGGCUAACUACGUGCCAGCAGCCGCGGUAAUACGUAGGUGGCAAGCGUUGUCCGGAUUUAUUGGGCGUAAAGCGAGCGCAGGCGGUUUCUUAAGUCUGAUGUGAAAGCCCCCGGCUCAACCGGGGAGGGUCAUUGGAAACUGGGAGACUUGAGUGCAGAAGAGGAGAGUGGAAUUCCAUGUGUAGCGGUGAAAUGCGUAGAUAUAUGGAGGAACACCAGUGGCGAAGGCGGCUCUCUGGUCUGUAACUGACGCUGAGGCUCGAAAGCGUGGGGAGCAAACAGGAUUAGAUACCCUGGUAGUCCACGCCGUAAACGAUGAGUGCUAAGUGUUGGAGGGUUUCCGCCCUUCAGUGCUGCAGCAAACGCAUUAAGCACUCCGCCUGGGGAGUACGACCGCAAGGUUGAAACUCAAAGGAAUUGACGGGGGCCCGACAAGCGGUGGAGCAUGUGUUUAAUUCGAAGCAACGCGAAGAACCUUACCAGGUCUUGACAUCCUUUGACCACUCU